rnacentral:lncRNA from 1 species
GUGUUAGUGUAUGUAGUGUGUGUGUGUGUUGUGUUAGUGUAUGUAGUGUGUGUGUGUUGUGUUAGUGUAUGCAGGGUGUGUGUUGUGUUAGUGUAUGUAGUGUGUGUGUUGUGUUAGUGUAUGCAGUGUGUGUGUUGUGUUAGUGUAUGCAGUGUGUUUGUUGUGUUAGUGUAUGUAGUGUGUGUGUUGUAUUAGUGUAUGCAGUGUGUGUGUUGUGUUAGUG